rnacentral:rRNA from 1 species
AUACGGAGGGUGCAAGCGUUACUCGGAAUCACUGGGCGUAAAGCGCGCGCAGGCGGCUAUUUAAGUUGGAUGUGAAAGCCUAUGGCUCAACCAUAGAACUGCAUCCAAAACUAUUUAGCUAGAGUGUGGGAGAGGAAGAUGGAAUUAGUUGUGUAGGGGUAAAAUCCGUAGAGAUAACUAGGAAUACCAAAAGCGAAGGCAAUCUUCUGGAACACUACUGACGCUCAGGCGCGAAAGCGUGGGGAGCAAACAGGAUUAGAAACCCUAGUAGUCC